UACGGGGGGGGCUAGCGUUAUUCGGAAUCAUUGGGCGUAAAGGGCGCGUAGGCGGCGCGGUAAGUCAAAGGUGAAAUCUCUCGGCUCAACUGAGAGUCUGCUGGGGAAACUGCCGGGCUUGAGUGUGGGAGAGGAGAGUGGAAUUCCUGGUGUAGCGGUGAAAUGCGUAGAUAUCAGGAGGAACACCUGAGGCGAAAGCGGCUCUCUGGACCACAACUGACGCUGAGGCGCGAAAGCUAGGGGAGCAAACAGG
rnacentral:rRNA from 1 species